GAUGAAGAACGCAGCGAAUUGCGAUAAGUAAUGUGAAUUGCAGAUUUUCAGUGAACCAUCGAAUCUUUGAACGCACAUUGCGCCCGGUAGUAAUCUGCCGGGCAUGCCUGUCCGAGCGUCAUUUCUCCCCUCGAGCGCGGCUUCACGGCCGACGCCCGGUGUUGGGGCGCUACGGGAGGAGCCUCGCGCUCCCCCCGUAGGCCCCGAAAUGAAGUGGCGGUCCCGCCGCGGCGCCCCCUGCGUAGUAGUUUUACAACUCGCAUCGGGUCCCGGUGGAGGCCAGCCGUCAAACCCCCAACUCAACAGUUUGACCUCGGAUCAGGUAGGGUUACCCGCUGAACUUAAGCAUAUCAAUAAGCGGAGGA
rnacentral:misc_RNA from 1 species